rnacentral:misc_RNA from 1 species
GGUAGCUGAGCGCAGUUUUUGGCGAGUCUCAAAAAACAGUCUCAGUUCGGAUUGAAGUCUGCAACUCGACUUCAUGAAGUUGGAAUCGCUAGUAAUCGCGAAUCAGCAUGUCGCGGUGAAUACGUUCUCGGGGUUUGUACACACCGCCCGUCAAACCACGAAAGUUGGCAAUACCCAAAGCCGGUGGCCUAACUUCGCAAGAAGAGGGAACCGUCUAAGGUAGGGUCGAUGAUUGGGGUUAAGUCGUAACAAGGUAUCCCUACCGGAAGGUGGGGAUGGAUCACCUCCUUUCUAAGGAAACAAUUAUCAUCUUCAGUUUUGAGAGACUUAAGAAAGUUUUUCAUUGUAACUUGCUUGCAAAUUGUAUUUGCAACAUUUUAAUCUUUUUAAGAUUAAGGGCCUAUAGCUCAGUUGGUUGGAGCACACGCCUGAUAAGCGUGAGGUCGGUGGUUCGAGUCCAUUUAGGGCCCACCAAAACCACAAAU